CCUACGGGGGGCAGCAGUGAGGAAUAUUGGUCAAUGGGCGAGAGCCUGAACCAGCCAAGUCGCGUGAGGGAGUACUGCCCUAUGGGUUGUAAACCUCUUUUGUCGGGGAGCAAAAGCCGGACGUGUCCGGCUGUGAGAGUACCCGAAGAAAAAGCAUCGGCUAACUCCGUGCCAGCAGCCGCGGUAAUACGGAGCAUGCGAGCGUUAUCCGGAUUUAUUGGGUUUAAAGGGUGCGCAGGCGGAUUUUUAAGUCAGCGAGAAAAUCGUGGGGCUCAACCCCAUCCAGCCGUUGAAACUGGGGAUCUAGAGUGUGCGAGAGGUAUGCGGAAUGCGUGGUGUAGCGGUGAAAUGCAUAGAUAUCACGCAGAACCCCGAUUGCGAAGGCAGCAUACCGGUGCACAACUGACGCUCAGGCACGAAAGCGUGGGUAUCGAACAGGAUUAGAUACCCGGGUAGUC
rnacentral:rRNA from 1 species